UCCAGACUCCUACGGGAGGCAGCAGUGGGGAAUUUUGCGCAAUGGGGGAAACCCUGACGCAGCAACGCCGCGUGCGGGAUGACGGCCCUCGGGUUGUAAACCGCUUUCAGCAGGGAAGAUAUUGACGGUACCUGCAGAAGAAGCUCCGGCUAACUACGUGCCAGCAGCCGCGGUAAUACGUAGGGAGCGAGCGUUAUCCGGAUUCAUUGGGCGUAAAGCGCGCGUAGGCGGCUGCCUAAGCGGAACCUCUAACCCCGGGGCUCAACCUCGGGCCGGGUUCCGAACUGGGCGGCUCGAGUGCGGUAGAGGAGAGCGGAAUUCCCGGUGUAGCGGUGGAAUGCGCAGAUAUCAGGAGGAACACCGGUGGCGAAGGCGGCCUGCUGGACUGCAACUGACGUUGAGGCCCGAAAGCGUGGGGAGCAAACAGGAUUAGAUACCCCAGUA
rnacentral:rRNA from 1 species